AGAAAUGGGAUCAGCUGUUGUCUGCUGUUGCCUGCCUGCAGCUGAGGUGAAGACUUAUGCUUUUCACCAAAGACUGCUAUUUUAAGGGUUGUCAAAAGCACUGGGGAAGCGACAAAGGAUAACCUCACACUUCAGCUGUGGUGCCAGCACAGGAUGUCUGCUGGAUGCAGUGCUCCUUGGCAUGUGUGUGUGCAAGUGCCUUGCCCAAUAACAUCAUUUUCCCAGAGGUGACCUGGCAGAAGUGAACUGUGCUUUGCAUCUGCACCUCCCAUGCCUUUCGAUUCCGUCACAGUUAUCUGUAACUGCAUUUGCUGCCUCCUAGAAUGACAACUUCAUAUUGAGGUCUCUGGAUCUUAUCGGACUUUGGUUUCUGAAUCAAACACAGAGACUCCUGGAUGAAGCUCUAAUAUGGAUCUAGGCAAUGUUGUAUCACACCUUUUAUCCUGCAUCUUUCUGUGGAAACUUCUUACACAGCUGCACAAUCUCCAAAUAGAUCUGGAUGUGGAGUGGUGCAGCGAUACGAAUGGAAGUCAGCUAACAGCUCUUUGCAAGUCCCUGAGGCAGCAGAUCAGAUGGAAACUCCUGGGCAAUCUCAGACUGACGUUCAGUGCUCCUGACAGAGAUGGCUCUGGGCUGCAGAUGUUCACGGGACCAUAUGGCAUCUGCAUGUUGUCUUCAAGAAUUAUUACGAAAUAGACUGUUUUGGAGGGGAAAGAUAACCUGAUCAUAAAUAUUAAUCACUGCAGCUGUAGUUUGAAUGACUGUAAAAGUGUCAUAAUGGAA